ACAUCACCUUGGUUCUGGGCCCAGCAAUAUAUCACAAUACCCCCUAAGAGGAGAUGACAGACAGGAGAGACACAUCACCUAGGUCAGAGGAGCAGAGCUAUAUGGUAAUGCACUGUGUGUUUGGGCCCAAAAAUGGAGGAGAGUUACAUCACCUGAAGACUGUACCCAGCUAUAAGUCACAAUGACCCCUGUGGGCAGCACCCAGGCAUGAGAGGAGAGUACCAUCAUGUAGGUGCUGUGCCAGGCUGUAUUUCACCAUCUCCACUAUGGAUAGGUUUCAGGGAGAAAAGGAGCAUCACAUCAUCUAGUUGAUGGGUCUAGAGAUACGUCAAAAUGACCCCUCUGAAGAGACAAGGAUGCAGAAUCACAUGAUCUUUGUGCUGGGCCUUGGAAUAACUCACUGUCCCUUCUGCAAACAUGGCCAAGGCAGAAGAUGAGGGUCACAUCUUUAAGGUGAUGAACGUGGAAAUAUUUCACAAGGAUCCCUGUAGGCAAGAACCAGGCAGGAGAUUCCCUUCCCUCAGGUUUUUGGACCAGGAAUAUGUCACAAUGUGGGGCUCAAGCAAAAAACAAAAGAAACAUCACCUAUUUUCUGGGCACAGAAUUAUGUCACAAUCUCUCCUAUGGGCAAAGUCUUGGUUAAAAAAGAAGAGUCUUGUCAAAUAUUUGAUGGGCUCAGAGAUAUGUCACAAUGCCAUAUGGUACAAAUUGCUGUAGGCAGGGUUCAGACAGUAGACUCACUUUGGUGUUGGGCCCAAUAAUGUGUCACAGUGCUUUCCACUUGCAGGGCAAAGUCAAAAGAAUAAUGUCACCUAGGAGGUGGACUAACCAAUGUAUCACAAUCUCCUUCCAAACAAAUCCUAAAAAGCAAAAGUGUAACAUAGCUAGGUGCUGGGCACAGUGAUAUGUCACAACCCCUUCUUUAAGCAGGGACUAGGCAGGAGAAGAGAAUCACACCACAUGGGUGAUGGGCACAUAGAUAUUUCACAAUGUCCCCUUGGGCAAAGCUCAGGAAGGAGAGGUAGAUUAUCUAGGUUUUGGACGCAGCAAUAUGUCACAAUGGCCAUUGUGGACAGGGCACCAGCAGAAGAGUCACAUAACCUGGAUGUGGGGCCCAGCAAUACAUCACAAUGCCCCUGUGGGUAGCACUAAUGCAAGAGAGAAAACUUACAUUACCUAGGUGCAAGGCCAAGUGAUAUGUCCCAAUGUCCCCUGUGGGCAGCACCAAGGCAGGAGAUAAGAGUCAAAUCACCUAGGUGCUGGCUUCAGUGAUAUAUCAGAAUCCCAUCUGUGAAAUGGGCACAGGAAACAGAGCUAAAACACUCAGGAGCUGGGCAGAGAUGUAUGUCACAAUCCCACCUGCAGAAAGUGACAAGAAUGAGAUGAGCAACUCCACAUGUCCAGAUGCCAGGUUCAUCUAGCCAAAAGCUGUUCCAAUUUUUAAAUAUACAUCCCAGGGGUGUUUCAGUGACAGUAGAGGAAGCGGCUCCCACAGUGCCGAGAGAAUCCUGCAAAGACAGAACAUGUACUGAAGUCCAGGAGGCCAUGGGCAUCCGCAUGAGCCAAGUGGAAACACCACGGUGUCCAGUGCGUCCCCUCGAAACCCCAUUAACUGAAGCUCUAGGAGGUCGUAGGCAUUUGCCAUACACCGUCCUAGCUCUCACCAGGGCUGAACAUCUCCAGCCCUACCUAGAUGACCCCCACUGCUGGCUGGGGGGCAGAUGUCUGGCCGACAAGCCUUUCCCUAAUUCACUGGUUUGCCAUUUAUGAAGCCCAAUUAUAACACCUGCAAUGCUGAGAUGCAAUCCCUAUGACUGGGCGUCUACAUGACUGUGAAUCUUUUGUUCAGCAAAGAAAAUCUGUUGAAGAACAAUUACAAGGAGCUGGGAAAUGCAUAAAGCCUGAAGGGACAGGAUUCUGUUAAUGUGCUGCUCAAAACAAAACAAAAAUUUUGUAAACAGAAAACCUGACCAGAAAAUAAAUUAUAAUAGCCACUAGGUGGCGAUCGAGUAUUGCUGAACGGACAGCAAACGAUAAGCUGUGUCUGAAGUGUGGCCAGAAAGAUGUGAAACUAAGCAGGGAAGUAGCCCGAAUAUGAAAUGUUGAGAGCAACACAUGUGGUUAGUUAGUUAUGGAUAGUACAGAAGCAGCAGCCAAAAGGAGAGAGGACAUAUAUUCUCUCUCUAAAGAAUAUAGGUGACUUAAACACAUUUCCCCAGAACUUUAGUGAAACAGCGCUGGAACAACCAGCGAUAGUUAAGCAGGUAGUCUGGAAGUGUCAUAGUAUUCACUGCAAGUAAGGGGAAACUGAAAUUAAUGAAUCGGACAAACCUCUCUCCGGGCCAUGGCACCAGAAAUGUUGACGGCUGAUGUAAUACCUUGGUUCCUAUCUUCUUGGUUUAAAACAAUUUAAACAAGAAACACACAGCAAAAGAAGUACAGCAUAGAGUAAUUUAUUUCACAAAAAAAGAAAAGAAUAUUUUGAAAAUUAAGUGCAGAAUAGACGGUACAGUUUGAGAAAGAGAUUCCAGGGCAGCCUGCUCAUAAGAGUGAGACAGCAUUAAUUGUUGCUGGAGAAACCCUCCUUGUGGGAGUUUUACAUGAUCAUUCAUAAGAAGGUGGAAAGAAGUGUUACAGUAAGCAUGUUUUGAGUGGUCUUCUGGGUGCACAUGUGCAGUAGCUGUACAUAUUUGUGCAUACAUUGUCUGUCUCAUUAGCAUCUUAAAUCUCCACCCAGGAAUGUAUUUUUUACUAUUAAAAUGAGCAUAGGGUCAGCUUGAGGACAGAUAAAAUCAAAAUGCACACGCUCUCUAGAAGUUAAAAUCUCUACUGAAGAUAGCGGGUUUCAAAUGACCCCAAGUGCUCCACAUCUUAAAAGUCGCUCCCACAAAGCUGGAACACUAUCUGUUCCUGAGGGAUCAGGUCCCAUCUGUGUCUCUGAGACACUGGCAAGUCAGGCGUGACUUGAGAUGAGACCGAUGAUUUCAAGCGUAAAAUGCCUAAAUAGUCGGCAGCUUCAGGUUGCAUUUUGGAGGUUGUCCACUUAAAUGGAUUGACGAAAAUGACUUAGAAGACUCACGCCUCAGAAAUGGGGUUUUCUCCUUUGCUCUUAGCAGAUUUUGUGCAACCCAAUAAUUAACCUUCCUGAUGCCGCGACUUUCACAUUCGUGAAAAAGGCGCCAUUGAGAGUGACACUCCCAGGAAGCCACAGCUUUUAUCACUCCCUGCAGAGCUCUGAUGUUUAUAAGCAGGCCAGGUGGAAGAUUUCUCUAAAAAGCUGUUGAGCACUUGCUCUGGCUAGAGCAAAAAGAGGGCUGCGGCACAACAGAUAGUGUCUCGGACAUCAGGACAGUUUCCACAGCAGUUUAGGAGAGAAGGCAGCGCCCUGGGCUGCAGAAGACGCAAUGCUCUGGAAAGAACCCUGGGUGCAGCUGAAAGAGGAACCUGAGAAGGAUAGGGCCAAUCGGGUGAGGACAACCCGCCCGAUUUGGGCAAAGACCCCAUCUCCCAAAGAGAAUCAGAGAGGCAGUCUGGAAGCCGUUUAGAAUCUCCAGCCUCUUCCCUAGUAAUGAUGGACUUGGAUACAAGGAGGAAACCUACUGACCUCAAAGACACCAGCCUAGAUUCUGAGCAUUGAAUUCCUGCCUCCCCCUGAAAGGCCUCAUCUGAGUCACAUCGAAGCCCACACUCUUCUUCAACGUUCACCUUCCAGACACGUUCCAAAACAGCCCCUCAGAAUUGUCUUGAGAUGAAACAAAAGGUGAUGAAGCUCCAGGUUUGGAAUGCCGACCUCAUUCCCCCCUUCCUGAAAAGUCUACACCUGCUGGUUAGAGCUCUCACACCUGAGGGAGCUUGGCCUGUCAGAGUGCAUCCUCUGAGGCCUUUUCCUCCUUAGAGGAGAGCGCCCAGGAAUAAUAGGGAAUACAUGGCCUCCACUCUCACAUGAAUUGGUUGACUGAUGAACUGAUGUCUGAGAAGGAAAAAUAUGCAGGAAACAGCCUGUGUCUUGUGAAUCCCUAUUUCCCCAGCUAUGAUGCCUAUGCAAAUGGAGGGAGAAUCUCCAAAUAAUAUUGGGGGACAGACACUGCCUAAUACAAUUAAGUAAAUUUAAGGUAACUUGAAGGGGAAUUUAUCAUAUGUCAUAUACAAAAUUUUAGUUAGAGAACUUUAUUUAAAAAUAGUCACAAUUUGUAAGGGCAUUAAAAUAUAAUUUUAAUAGGAAGCUAUGAAAAUUAUCUGCACUUGCUAUGUAAAUGAUUGAGUUUGGGGUAACUAUCCAAAGGCCAUGAGCUUGAAAUGAUAUCUGCUACUUAAUUUCAUAAGACAUUUACUUGCAAAUGGUUGCCAUUUUUGCCCUCGUUAUAUGAAAAUAUUUUCUUGUGAAGAGCGUUUUUAUGAACAAAAAUAGUAGACAUUUUGCCAAUUUUGAUUAUUAAAACAAUAAAAUUGUCUGGUUAGUUUGUUAUUCUUAACCAAAAGCUCCUACAGAUAGCACAGAGUACUCAUGCUUUGUUUUUUUUUUCACCUUAGGUCAAUUGCCUUUAAUUUUAUUCAUCAAACUGUAUUUACUGUAGAUAGACACUGCAGUUGUCAUGUGACCUAUGGAUUUGUACUUUGUUAGAAAUAUGGAUUCUCAGGCUGAGUAUGGUGGCUCACACCUGUAAUCCCAGCACUUUGGGAGUCUGAAGCAGGUGGAUCACCUGAGGUCAGAAGUUCAAGACCAGCCUGGCCAACAUGGUGAAACCCCACCUCUCUAUUAUUUACAGUUCAGAUUGUACCUUGCAAUGAAUAUACAUGCUAUCCAAAAAGCCUAAGAAAUAAUGAAAUUGGGGGAGAAUGGCUGGAAGCACAGAUGAAACAAAAAUGACACAUGACUAGUAGCUGUUAAAGCUGGGUGACUGGUCUGUUAUACUUUUUUUGUAUUUUGUAUAUGUUUUUAAUGUUCUGUAAUAAAACACUUGUACAAAAUGACAAAGUUUUUCUACACUUAGCUCUUAAGAUCUUGGUUAUGUUUGGGAAAAAGAAAGUGUCAGGGACAUGAACAAGUCUGAUUCUUAGAUACACAGGCAUAUUUAUUUUGUAAUAAUUCAUCAAGCAUUCCAUAAAUGUUUUGUGCCUAUAUUGCUGUAUGCAUGUUAUACAUCAAUAAAAAUUUAAAUAGUACAUAUUUGCAUAAUAAUCCCAAAUUAACAUUUUAGAAUAAUAGCAAUGGUUUGUUUUGUUUUAAAGUGGGGCGUGUUCGCUCAGGACAUCAUCAGGUGUAUAUUAAUGUUACAAGUUAUUUAUUUGUGUUUUAACUUUUGGGUGAGCCCCCCCUAGGUCUUUUAAUUUUUACCUCAACACAGUAAGUAACAUGGUUUUAACUUUUUGGAAUAGAGCUUUGUUUUCAGCAAGGUGCACCCCCAAGAAUGAUGCUCACUCAGGCCAGGGCACACCAUGCAGUGAUCCAUGCACAGGAUGCCCUGAGCACACACGGAACUGGGUGAAUUAGGAAUGGAGUGAGCAGCAGAGCCUGGGUCUGCAAAGUAUGGUUAGUAGGAAAAACAGAUAAGAUUGAAAAGUCACAAUUUAGCAGCAAACGUUUUUACAUUCAUUUGAGAAAUCAUUUCUAACAAAAGCUGCUGGUUAAAGCCAUGGUUUUGUGGCUUGCCUACACACUGGAAUCACCUGGAGAACUUUAAACCAUAUUGUUUUGCAGAUCCAACUCCAAGGAUGCUGAUUUAAUUGAUCAAUUACAACUUGUGUUUAAGGGAUUUUGAAAGUUUUCCUCCCUGCAGGUGAUUCUCUUGCACCAGGGUGAAGAAGCACUGGAUACGGGUGAGGGAUGAUUUAGCUGCGAGGGAUUUCCAUGUACGCUUCAGGAUUUGCCCCAUUGCAAAUCUGGAGAUUGGAGUCUUAGAAAACAUACUUGCCCUGUUAAAAAUUAAAGGGAUGGCUUCAAGACAUACUUAGUUGUUUGGCUACAUUAUAGGAAAAGAAACCACCUUUCCAAAGAUCAGUUUUUUGAGAUAGGAUUUUGCUCUGUCAGUCAGGCUGAAGUGCAGUGGUGUGAUCAUGGCUCACUGCAGCCGUGAUCUCCCAGGCUCAAGUGAUCCUCCAGCUUCAGCCUUCUGAGUAGCUGGGACUGAAGGCAUGCACUACCAGGCCUGACUAAUUUUAAAAUUUUUUUUUUUGUAGAGAUGGGGUCUUGCUUUGUUGCCAAGGUUGGUUUCAAACUCCUGGCCUCAAGUGAUCCUCCCACCUCAGUCUCCCUAAUAGCUCAAACUACAGGCACAGGCAAGCAUGCCUGGUGUCUUUAUUAAAAUAUAGCUACUGGAAAAUUUAAAAUUCACGUGUGCCUCACAUAUUGUUUCUUAGAGAAUUGGCUCCUUUUGAAAUCUCAGGCUGCCUGCUCUAAAGCCUAGAUGCCAGGAAAGUAAAAAAUCUGAAAUUUAGAAAUAAUUGUCAUUAUAUUUCUUCCAUAUAUGAAUAACACAUAUAUGUUAUUCAUAAAUAAAAAUAACCUUACAUACAAAUGUAAAUGCAAAACUUUUACAGGCAGGACCAGUUUCCAGUGCAUGGAGGAAGCCCUGCCAGAAAACAAUCCAGGAAAAACCUAUAAUUCUUGCUUUAUUCAACCCAGUGUCAAAUCACUUAUGUCACUCAUGGCGUGAGAGGAUGGUGUGGGUAACUGAACUAUAUCCAAUCAUGGGUGCUGGAGUGGAAACUAUCUAAUCAGGUGCACAGCUGAAGAAGAGGGGGUAGCUUUUUGGAUCUAGGGGGGCCUUUGUCCAUCGCUCCAGCCAGAGCUCAGGGCACUAGAGCCACCUCAACCUAAUUGCCUGUUUUUUAGUUAUUUUAACACUCCAAAAGUGAACUCGUUUUCUCAUGCAUUUUCCAAAUGUGUCAAAAGAAGAGCCUCAAAUCUACUACCCUGUUGCCCCAGCCUAACUCUGGCUUGCAGUCAGAUUUUAGAUGUCCAGUUCUUUCCUGACACUCACCAACACUAACUAACCUUGUAUAACUCACAAUAUUAUCAACGGUUCUUUAUUGUACAUUUCAGACACAGUAUUUUAAUUCUUCAUUUUUUCAAAAAGGAGUGGAUGGCACUUUUUACAAAAAGAUUUUUCAUUUGUAAACAUUUUACAGGAGAUGAGAGCAGAGAAUGAUCCCCUGACACUC